GCCCUCGUAGUCCAACCGGCAGAGACGCUUCGUCGAGAGCGAAGAGGCUGCAGGUUCGAAUCCUGCCGAGGGCA
rfam:Thermomonospora curvata DSM 43183, complete genome.